CCACGCGAGGCGGCGCACAAGCAUGCCUUGGGCGAUGCAUGGGAUGGUCCUUCAAGGCGUCGUGGGGGCGGCCAUGGCGCGGAAGGCGGUGCCCCCUCCUCUCUAACCCAGCGGCGCCGCCUCCCCUCCCCCGUGCCAGAUUCGGCGAGGAGGCCGGCUGCUGCGUCUAGAUCCAGCGCCUGUCUGUGGCGGCGCAUGGAGCAGCGCUUGCUCCUUCAUGCGGUGAGCUCCUCCUUCGAGCGGUGGCGGCAGUGGUCAGAUCGACGAACGCCGACGCAGAUCCGGUAAUGGGAAGCCAGAGCCGGCUACGGGAGGCUACGAGCGGAUCUCGGUGCUACGCAUGGUCGGGCAUGGAUUUAGGCACCACAAAUGGUGGCGUCGGCAACAACGCAUGGAUGGGCUCGGUGGGCCCAUGGAUGGGCUCGCUGGGCUUAUCCAUGGUUUUUUUGUUUUUUAUCAGGUUUACCGUGGUGGGCAACGAACCGCCUCAGAAAAGGUCACAUUAACCAUGACCUUUGAUCCGAGGCGGUUGCAAAAACCGCCGCGGUUAAGGGAUUUUGCCCCCUCGGUAAAAAAAUAUUGUAGUAGUGUGACUUCAUUCCUUAUACUAUUUUCCGAUUAUUUAUAGAAUACUAGGAGGAUUUCCCGCGCGUUGCCGCGAGUAUGAAGAAGUAAUAUAAAUAUGUUAGAAUGUGUAUUGUCUAAUUGGACAGCUUAAAUGUUCAGAAAAAUAUGUGACUUGCUGAUGUGGACAUUACAAUUGCAUAA